CAAAUUUAACCUCACGAAAAAGCACACCAUCUUAUAUCAAUCAAAAACUAGAUGAAUGGCGGUGGUAUUAUGCAUUAAUCUGCUUUUCUAGCUUGGAUUCAAGAAAGACUUGGAGGUACAUUAAAAUUCAAGGGACUUCCUGAGGAGAGCUGCAUCAAAGGCAUUUAUAGUUAUGUCGAGAAUCACAUUCCCUUUAGGUAAUUUUGUUCAAACUGGAAAGCAUUUUGAGGGCUUAUAUGUUUGUUUUGUAGAAUUUGGAUAACAUUUAGCCUAUAAGAUCCUGGCAUUAGUGUUGAAGUCUCCAAAUAGAAGUAUAUUAAAGAUGUUGACACGUGCAAAUUUCUAUUAAAAUUGCUAUGGCAUGAGUGAAAUAAUUUCCAAGAA